GCCGGGUGUGGUGGCUCACACCUGUAAUCCCAGCACUUUGGGAGGCUGAGGCAGGUGGAUCACCUGAGGUCAGGAGUUUGAGACCAGCCUGGCCAACAUGGUGAAACCCUGCCUCUA
rnacentral:SRP_RNA from 1 species